AUGAGUGAGAACAGACGAGACCUGCUGUUUACAGUCCUGACCGGCGGACAGACUUUCGGCAGCGGCACCAGACUGGAUGUUGGCAGCAACACUCCUCCUAAAGUGAUCAUCCUGCCCCCGUCCAGUGCAGAGAUCUCCUCUCUGAACACAGCGACACUGCUGUGUGUGGCCAGCGAGGGAUUGCCGUCAGACUGGAGCCUGAGCUGGAAGGUGGACGACAGCAGCAGGGCUCAGGAGAGCAGCGCUGGGCUCCUGCAGAAGGACGCUCUGUACAGCUGGAGCAGCAGCCUGACUCUCUCUGAGCAGGAGUGGAUGAAGAGCGUCUCAGUGAGCUGUGAGGCCACACGGAGCGGCCAGCCUGCAGUCACUGCACAACUGAGGAGAGAUCAGUGUUCAGAUCAGUAGAUCCGCUCAGUCUCUCCUCUGGCUUCUGCUUCAUCCUUCUAGCUGACGUGUCUCUUCUGCUUCUCUGAGUUCAUUCACACAAGAGCAUGCUAUGAUGUUCUGUUAUAACUGAAAUAAAAUCAAUAAUACAGUGUCUGUCUUU